rnacentral:rRNA from 1 species
AUACGUAGGGGGCGAGCGUUGUCCGGAAUGAUUGGGCGUAAAGGGCGCGUAGGCGGCCUGUUAAGUCUGGAGUGAAAGUCCUGUUUUCAAGAUGGGAAUUGCUUUGGAUACUGAUGGGCUUGAGUGCAGGAGAGGUUAUCGGAAUUCCCGGUGUAGCGGUGAAAUGCGUAGAGAUCGGGAGGAACACCAGUGGCGAAGGCGGGUAACUGGACUGCAACUGACGCUGAGGCGCGAAAGUGUGGGGAGCAAACAGGAUUAGAUACCCUGGUAGUCCACGCCAUAAACGAUGAAUACUAGGUGUAGGGGGUAUCGACCCCCUCUGUGCCGACGUUAACACAUUAAGUAUUCCACCUGGGGAGUACGGCCGCAAGGCUGAAACUCAAAUGAAUUGACGGGG